rnacentral:tRNA from 1 species
AGCCCGGUGGUGUAGUGGCCAAAGUCUAAGCGGCUUGGCAUAGCGGCCUUUGGAGCCGCCGACGGGAGUUCGAAUCUCCCCCGGGCUA